UGAGUAACACGUGAGUGACCUGCCUUUUAGACUGGAACAACUUACCGAAAGGUGAGCUAAUGCCGGAUGAGUUAUAUAAGUGCAUGUUUAUAUAGGAAAAGUUGGGGAGACCUGACACUGAAAGAUGGACUCGCGUCCCAUUAGCUAGUUGGUAGGGUAAUGGCCUACCAAGGCGACGAUGGGUAGCCGGCCUGAGAGGGUGGCCGGCCACACUGGGACUGAGACACGGCCCAGACUCCUACGGAAGGCAGCAG
rnacentral:rRNA from 1 species